rnacentral:rRNA from 1 species
AUUGAACGCUGGCGGCAGGCCUAACACCUGCAAGUCGAACGAGUGGCGGACGGGUGAGUAAUGUCUGGGCAACUGCCCGAUGGAGGGGGAUAACUACUGGAAACGGUAGCUAAUACCGCAUACCAUCGGAUGUGCCCAUAUGGGAGUAGCUAGUAGGUGGGGUAACGGCUCACCUAGGCGACGAUCCCUAGCUGGUCUGAGAGGAUGACCAGCAACACUGGAACUGAGAAACGGUCCAGACUCCGACGGGAGGCAGCAGUGGGGAAUAUUGCACAAUGGGCGCAAGCCUGAUGCAGACAUGCCGCGUGUAUGAAGAAGGCCUUCGGGUUGUAAAGUACUUGCAGCGGGGAGGCGUUACUCACAGAAGAAGCACCGGCUAACUCCGUGCCAGCAGCCGCGGUAAUAC